AGAGUUUGAUCCUGGCUUAGGAUGAACGCUGGCGGCGUGCCUAACACAUGCAAGUCGAACGAAGCACUUUUGAUCGGAGAUUCGUCAAAGAUUGGAUUUGACUUAGUGGCGGACGGGUGAGUAAUGUAUGAGCAACCUGCCUUUCAGAGGGGGACAACAGUUGGAAACGACUGCUAAUACCGCAUAAUGUAUUUUUGAGGGCAUCCUCGAGAUACCAAAGGAGCAAUCCGCUGAAAGAUGGGCUCAUAUCUGAUUAGUUAGUUGGCAGGGUAACGGCCUACCAAGACUGCGAUCAGUAGCCGGACUGAGAGGUUGAACGGCCACAUUGGGACUGAGAUACGGCCCAGACUCCUACGGGAGGCAGCAGGUGGGGAAUAUUGGGCAAUGGGCGAAAGCCUCGACCCAGCAACGCCGCGUGAAGGAAGAAGGUCUUCGGAUUGUAAACUUCUUUUAUGAGGGACGAAGGACGUGACGGUACCUCAUGAAUAAGCCACGGCUAACUACGUGCCAGCAGCCGC
rnacentral:rRNA from 1 species